AGAAAUAUCAAAAAAAGAUUAUAUUUUAUUACUCAUAGUUUCAAAGUUAGGAGUAUUUUAUUGCAUUAUCAAUCUUUGCAAAUGAAUAAUCCACGGGUAGUGCUCAUUUACUACAACUCUUCCUACCUAUGCAUUUCUAGGAUGAGAUUUGAAAAGAGCACAGGGACACCACAGAAUACAAAUACCCCCAAUCUGAAAUCCUCCUGUCCCUUCAGCAUUAACAGUGAAAUGAAUUUUCCUAGAACAGUAGCACUUGGUGGCUGUCUCCUUCACCUGCUGCCUCCAAAAAUCAUGAUCAACUUCUUGGUUUGAGUAGCAAGACCUCAAAAUGUGAUGUGACAGGUGACUUGCCAGGAGUAACAAUAUCUUGAAACUGCUUCAUCCAUUCUCUUUCAUGAGAUCUCCCUGGGACAUUUACAAAGUGGUAAGUAUAAGGCAAGGAUCUAAGCUAUGGCUACGGAAUAGGGUGAGGCUAGCCUCUCUCCUCUUUACCCACUGCAACCUGG
rnacentral:lncRNA from 12 species